GCUUGUCUCAAAGAUUAAGCCAUGCAUGUCUAAGUAUAAAUAUCUAUACUGUGAAACUGCGUAUGGCUCAUUAAAUCAGUUAUAGUUUAUUUGAUGAUACCCCACUACAUGGAUAACCGUAGUAAUUCUAGAGCUAAUACAUGCGUCAAAUCCCGACUUUUUGGAAGGGAUGUAUUUAUUAGAUAAAAAACCAAUGCGGGUUCUGCCCGGUUUUGUGUUGAAUCAUAGUAACUUUUCGAAUCGCAUGGCUUCACGCCGGCGAUAGUUCAUUCAAAUUUCUGCCCUAUCAGCUUUCGACGGUAGUGUAGUGGACUACCGUGGCGUUAACGGGUAACGGAGAAUUAGGGUUCGAUUCCGGAGAGGGAGCCUGAGAAACGGCUACCACAUCUAAGGAAGGCAGCAGG
rnacentral:rRNA from 1 species